UGGAAUGGAUGCUCUGGCUCGCA
rnacentral:piRNA from 1 species